UGGGGAAUAUUGGACAAUGGGCGCAAGCCUGAUCCAGCCAUGCCGCGUGAGUGAUGAAGGCCCUAGGGUUGUAAAGCUUUUUCACCGGUGAAGAUAAUGACGGCAACCGGAGAAGAAGCCCCGGCUAACUUCGUGCCAGCAGCCGCGGUAAUACGAAGGGGGCUAGCGUUGUUCGGAUUUACUGGGCGUAAAGCGCACGUAGGCGGACUAUUAAGUCAGGGGUGAAAUCCCGGGGCUCAACCCCGGAACUGCCUUUGAUACUGGUAGUCUUGAGUUCGAGAGAGGUGAGUGGAAUUCCGAGUGUAGAGGUGAAAUUCGUAGAUAUUCGGAGGAACACCAGUGGCGAAGGCGGCUCACUGGCUCGAUACUGACGCUGAGGUGCGAAAGCGUGGGGAGCAAACAGG
rnacentral:rRNA from 1 species